rnacentral:rRNA from 1 species
GACGAACGCUGGCGGCGUGCCUAAUACAUGCAAGUCGAACGCAGUGGGGACGGGUGAGUAACACGUGGGUAACCUCCCAUCAGAGGGGAUAACACUUGGAAACAGGUGCUAAACCGAUACUGAUGGAUGAACCCGCGGUGCAUUAGCUAGUUGGUGAGGUAACGGCUCACCAAGGCCACGAGGCAUAGCCGACCUGAGAGUGUGAUCGUACACACUGGAACUGAGACACGGCCCAGACUCCUACGGGAGGCAGCAGUAGGGAAUCUUCGUCAAUGGACGAAAGUCUGACCGAGCAACGCAGCGUGAGUGAAGAAGGUUUUCGGAUCGUAAAACUCUGUUAUUAGAGAAGCGGUAUCUACCCAGAAAUCCCCGGCUAACGACGUGCCAGCAGCCGCGGUAAUAC